rnacentral:lncRNA from 1 species
AACCUAGUAGAACUGAUUCAGUCAUCAAACCUCCACCAGAAUCAGACUCGUUGAAUCCCACGUUUGACAAUGCACAGUAUUCUGCAAAUAGACCGUCUCCUCCAGCAGCAACCCCACCACCACCUCAUUUACACAUCCCUCCACCUCCGUCAGUCACCACACAAACACCACCUUCACACAUCCCUCUAUCACCUCCGGCAGCCAUCACACAGACACCUCCUUCACACAUUCCUCCAUCACCCCC